rnacentral:tRNA from 1 species
GGAGUGGUACUCAAGAGGCUGAAGAGGACGGUUUGCUAAAUCGUUAGUGUGGGCAACUGCAGCGGAGGUUCGAAUCCUCUCCACUCCG